GGACUACUGGGGUUUCUAAUCCUGUUUGCUCCCCUUGCUCUCGCGCCUCAGCGUCAGGUAUAAGCUAGAAAACCGCUUUCGCCACAGGUGUUCUUCCACAUAUCUACGCAUUUCACCGCUACACGUGGAAUUCCGUUUCCUCCGCCAAUCCUCGAGAUAUUCAGUUUCAAAUGCAGCUCCGAAUUUGAGCCCCGGAAUUUCACAUCUGACUUUUAUAUCCGCCUACGCGCCCUUUACGCCCAAUAAUUCCGAUUAAUGCUUGCACCCUCCGUAUUACCGCGGCUGCUGGCAC
rnacentral:rRNA from 1 species